rnacentral:snRNA from 1 species
AUACUUACCUGGUAGGGAAGAUAACAUGAUCACAAAGGUGGUUUUCCUAGGGUGAGCUUAUCCAUGGCACUCUGGAUGUGCUGACUCCUGUGAUUUUGUCAAAUGUGGGAAAUUCGACUGCACAAUUUGUGGUAGUGGGGGACUGCGUUCACACUCUCCCUUG